rnacentral:rRNA from 1 species
CCUACGGGCGGCAGCAGUGGGGAAUCUUCCGCAAUGGGCGAAAGCCUGACGGAGCAACGCCGCGUGAUCGAAUGAAGGCCUUCGGGUUGUAAAGAUCUGUUGACAGGGACGAAUAAGCCAUGCGAAUAGUUUGGUGUAUGACGGUACCUGUUUAGAAAGCUACGGCUAACUACGUGCCAGCAGCCGCGGUAAUACGUAGGGAGCAAGCGUUGUCCGGAAUUAAUGGGCGUAAAGGGCGCGUAGGUGGGUGCUUAAGUCAGGUGUGAAAACUCUGGGCUCAAACUGGAGACUGCACUUGAAACUGGGUAUCUUGAGGGCAGGAGAGGAAAGUGGAAUUCCUAGUGUAGCGGUGAGAUGCGUAGAUAUUAGGAGGAACACCAGUGGCGAAGGCGACUUUCUGGACUGUACCUGACGCUGAGGCGCGAAAGCGUGGGUAGCGAACUGGAUUAGAUACCCCAGUAGUC